UCUCAUGGAUGAGCAAAGAAAAUGGUUUCUUGAGAAGGAAUCUGCUCCUGGUGUAGAUGUUGUGAA
rnacentral:pre_miRNA from 1 species